CAAAUAUUCUUUACUGUAACAAACCCAGUUUUUUCCAUUUCCAAGAUUUAUUUAGCCCCACAUGCCUCCUGAGCCACCUCCUCAAUGGAGAGCUCCAACAGAUGUCUCAAUGUCUUCAUCUUUCACUCACCUGUGGAGUCAUGUUUGGCUGAAGAGUCAUAUCAGGUAUCCCUGGGUUCUUAUGUCAUACCAUCAUCGUGAUAGCCAACUAUCAACUUCACAGUCUUCUACUGCCUGCUCCUAAGUUUCCUUUCUGCAGGGUUGCAACCCCUGUCUGAAUUCCCUGCUGAAGGACGGAGAACUAUUUUCUAGUUUACUUAAUGCCUCAUUUGAUCCUCCUGGAGUGAACAAUUUAGCAAAUGCCUAGAGCCUCUGAAAAUAUCUCUUGAAUAUUUGCAAUAGCUUCUGACUUCCACUGGCUGGUCCAUGUUACCCAGGUCACCAGAAUGUGAUAGAAAACUGAGGUUACACUAUCCUAAUCUGCCUCCAUUUUAUUUCUGAAUCCAUCUCACUACAAAAUCUCUCCUGCUCUACUGUUACAGACACAAGUUGCGAUGCAUAAAUGUAGAGAAAUGUUCUGAUUGGGUUGGAGGCCCAGGUGGAGGUGGACAGGAGAUUGCAGUACACCAGAAGUGGCCCCCCUGACAUCUCCAUGACCGUGCCAUUCCACAGGGCAUGGGAGAAAUCUCUUUAAUGCCCGCAUGUAUAUUUCUAUACAUGCAUCCAUAAAAAUUGAGUUGUCUGCUUUCAUUCCAAGAUGCCAAACAUCUGGGUAUA
rnacentral:lncRNA from 1 species